rnacentral:lncRNA from 1 species
ACCCGCUAUUCGGAAAAUUGAUCAUGAAAGAAGAUCUAACUCUGGCAGACUUUUUUGCUUUGGCAGAGAAGUAUGCACUUUGGGAUGAGGCUCGCCAAUGCACAUUCAAGGACUUGAAGAAGUACCCGACAUCACCUCCCUAGAACCAACGGAAGACUUAUUCACAUGUUUGACGGUAUCUAAAGUAGCAAUAAGCUCUACCAUCAUG